rnacentral:rRNA from 1 species
GCAGUCGAACGAUGAAGCUUCUAGCUUGCUAGAAGUGGAUUAGUGGCGCACGGGUGAGUAAGGUAUAGUUAAUCUGCCCUACACAAGAGGACAACAGUUGGAAACGACUGCUAAUACUCUAUACUCCUGCUUAACACAAGUUGAGUAGGGAAAGUUUUUCGGUGUAGGAUGAGACUAUAUAGUAUCAGCUAGUUGGUAAGGUAAUGGCUUACCAAGGCUAUGACGCUUAACUGGUCUGAGAGGAUGAUCAGUCACACUGGAACUGAGACACGGUCCAGACUCCUACGGGAGGCAGCAGUAGGGAAUAUUGCGCAAUGGGGGAAACCCUGACGCAGCAACGCCGCGUGGAGGAUGACACUUUUCGGAGCGUAAACUCCUUUUCUUAGGGAAGAAUUCUGACGGUACCUAAGGAAUAAGCACCGGCUAACUCCGUGCCAGCAGCCGCGGUAAUACGGAGGGUGCAAGCGUUACUCGGAAUCACUGGGCGUAAAGGGCGCGUAGGCGGAUUAUCAAGUCUCUUGUGAAAUCUAAUGGCUUAACCAUUAAACUGCUUGGGAAACUGAUAGUCUGGAGUGAGGGAGAGGCAGAUGGAAUUGGUGGUGUAGGGGUAAAAUCCGUAGAUAUCACCAAGAAUACCCAUUGCGAAGGCGAUCUGCUGGAACUCAACUGACGCUAAGGCGCGAAAGCGUGGGGGAGCAAACAGGAUUAGAUACCCUGGUAGUCCACGCCCUAAACGAUGUACACUAGUUGUUGGGGUGCUAGUCAUCUCAGUAAUGCAGCUAACGCAUUAAGUGUACCGCCUGGGGAGUACGGUCGCAAGAUUAAAACUCAAAGGAAUAGACGGGGACCCGCACAAGCGGUGGAGCAUGUGGUUUAAUUCGAAGAUACGCGAAGAACCUUACCUGGGCUUGAUAUCCUAAGAACCUUUUAGAGAUAAGAGGGUGCUAGCUUGCUAGAACUUAGAGACAGGUGCUGCACGGCUGUCGUCAGCUCGUGUCGUGAGAUGUUGGGUUAAGUCCCGCAACGAGCGCAACCCACGUAUUUAGUUGCUAACGGUUCGGCCGAGCACUCUAAAUAGACUGCCUUCGUAAGGAGGAGGAAGGUGUGGACGACGUCAAGUCAUCAUGGCCCUUAUGCCCAGGGCGACACACGUGCUACAAUGGCAUAUACAAUGAGACGCAAUACCGCGAGGUGGAGCAAAUCUAUAAAAUAUGUCCCAGUUCGGAUUGUUCUCUGCAACUCGAGAGCAUGAAGCCGGAAUCGCUAGUAAUCGUAGAUCAGCCAUGCUACGGUGAAUACGUUCCCGGGUCUUGUACUCACCGCCCGUCACACCAUGGGAGUUGAUUCACUCGAAGCCGGAAUACUA